rnacentral:rRNA from 1 species
CAGUCGCCGCGGUAAUACAGAGGGUGCGAGCGUUAAUCGGAUUUACUGGGCGUAAAGCGUGCGUAGGCGGCUUCUUAAGUCGGAUGUGAAAUCCCUGAGCUUAACUUAGGAAUUGCAUUCGAUACUGGGAAGCUAAAGUAUGGGAGAGGAUGGUAGAAUUCCAGGUGUAGCGGUGAAAUGCGUAGAGAUCUGGAGGAAUACCGAUGGCGAAGGCAGCCAUCUGGCCUAAUACUGACGCUGAGGUACGAAAGCAUGGGGAGCAAACAGGAUUAGAUACCCCUGUAGUCCCUGUCUCUUAUAC